CGCGGUAAUACGGAGGGUGCAAGCGUUAUCCGGAUUUACUGGGUUUAAAGCGCACGUAGGCGGCCCGUUAAGUCGCUUGGUGAAAGGCCGGGGCUCAACCCCGAGCAUGCCGGGGAUACUGGGGGGCUGGAGACAGGUAGAGGCCAGCGGAAUUCCGGGUGUAGCGGUGGAAUGCGUAGAGAUCCGGAAGAACACCGGAGGCGAAGGCGGCUGGCUGGACCUGAUCUGACGCUGAGGUGCGAAAGCGUGGGGAGCGAA
rnacentral:rRNA from 1 species